rnacentral:lncRNA from 1 species
CCUGCUUGCUAAUUUUUGUAUGAUAAGAAAAGGCGAAGUUGAACUAUAUCUAAUUCAUUGAUAAGGCAAUUUAGCUACUUCUAAGCUAAUCAAAUUAAUAUUAUUUUUGUGAAAUAAUGAAUUACUCCGAAAACAACAUGUUCUAAUCUGACUGUAAGGAUUGUCGUAACCCCUUCUAAAAUGCCUUCGAGCUGAGUAUUAAAGAUAAUAUUUUAUUAAAAGAAAAUGAAAUUCCAUAUUGUCUGUGGUGGUAGGAAGUUCUGAUGAUAUUUGUUUUGUUUAUUGUUCCUCUGCACUUGGUAAUGCAAAUGUGCCACACCAUUUAUAUUGUAGAACUAGUUAUUAUGUUCUACUUCCUGUAGUUACGUUUAGAGAUAACUUGUAACUAUGAAUGAAUGUUACAAAGUCACAUAUUUGUUAAGAUUAAGUUAUAUCUGAUAGUUUCGUAUAAAAGAGGACUAAAACAAAAUUAUGGUUCUGACUCAUUAAAAAAUUAAAAUAUGACGAUUGUUCCUGAAUAAAAACAAUACAAAUAUGACAAAUUUAUGUCAAUUACUUGAUAGUAGUAAUAUAUUUCAAGCUAAUCAUAUUUCUACAAAUUGCUUACGGUGCUUAUCGGUCGUAAUUAGGACUUUAUAAAUCUUGAAAUCAUGAUAAACGUGAGUUUUGUGCACAAGAAUGUAACUUAUUUGUGACGAACACUAUAAACUAGAUGGGUAUGUUGUACACCUAAUGGCAUAAAUACGGCAUUCCUCUACUUUUAAAUUGCUCUUACUGUACCGUAGUUGUACUUAACGGGACUGGGUGCACCUUGUGAGCAUUUUACGAAAUAAAUAUGCUAAUAUGAUGGGCGGCGUUCAAAAUCAGUUAACGACCGGUUAAGAUUCAGGAAAAAUAUCUUUAGCUCGCCCUUAGUCAUGGCACUAAGUAAAUGUGUCACGGAGUCUCGGGAAUGGAAAGUGCAUAUAAAUGUGUAAUAUGGAAAGUGCAUAUAAAUAUAAAAGUGCAUAUAAGUUACCAGAAUGGUCUGGAGUGGGAUGCCUUAUGUAACUGGCAGCUCGUAAACAAAUACACUUUGGAUGUCUUGCGUGCGUUACCGAUGUUUCGCUGUACAGAUUGUUCUGUGCAUAAUUUGGGCGUGUCUCACUCUUGCAUUGGAAUUCGUUUAAAACACGUGUCUCGUAUAAUGAUAGCAAUAUUGUAGUACUCAUCGUAAAAUCAAUGAGUCAUUUACGCUUGACGAUUUCGCAGCGAUAAUUGUGCCGAUAGAGGUGUAGAUAUGUCGGUAAUUCGGAGUAGGUAAUUGUGCGUAAACUUGCGUUCUGGCUGGGUAUUUUUUGUUCGGGUUUGUACCUAAAUGGUGGAGUAGUGAGAGAAUCUCGGGCGUGUUGUGACAGGUGACUGGUAAACCGCCGCCGAGGUGCGACGGAAGUUAAUUAGUACAGGCCGUCGAGACUGUCGAGGAGACGCCGCCUGGCGAAGCAGUCAUUCUCCGGUACCAGCACACUGAAGCUGAUUCAUCUGUUUAUGCAUAUCAGUUGCAGUUUAUUCAUCCGUUUAUAUUACUUGUCUUUUCUCAUCCACUGCCGCUAGACAUCUCCUAAGUAUGUUCCUUACAAUCAAUCCUCUUUAACCGUUCAACCAUUGGAGAAAUGAAGAUUAUUUCGCUUCGCUGUAUCUCUAUUUAUCGGUAUCUACUUCAUUGUGCGAGGUUCUAUCGGUUCUAAUUAAUAGCACGUAUUUUUUCAUAAUGUCUUUUAUUUUAUAAUUUACAUAACUAGACCUUUAUUAUGAAUAGAAAUGUGGAAAUAGUGUUUGAAUGACUCAAAUACCGUACAACUUCUUGGUCUGCCAAGUUGUCAGUCCUCUCGUAAAAGUAUUACAGACUGUCACAAUCGUCUGCCGUGUAGUGGUGCUGAUACAGAUCAUAAUUGAUGAUAAUUAUAUUGAAGCCAUGUGCCAAUUGGUUUUAAUCAGAUUAUUACUGUUUAAUUUACUACCUAAUCUCAAAUUUCCUACCACGUCCAUUCAAAAGUUUUAUUGACGAGUACUAUGUCUUUGACGUGGAUUAUCCUGUUUACUUGUUAAUCGUGUUUAUGACUUCUGAGAAGGUGGACGUUAUUUUCCUUGGACCAGGGCGUGGGUGAGCGCGAAAUACUAUCUUUAAAUGUAAUUAACCUUCACGUUCCUCCAUUCUGAACGACUAAUGCUUGGCAAAUCCACAAUAUUUCGUGUCUCCAAAACUGCUGGCUACGUGCAGCUAUUUUGUAAAUCAUAGUACUAUUUAUUUAAUCGUUGAGAGCAUCUGAGAAAAAGUAGCAGUUACAUUAAUUUCUGUAAAUUGCAUUUGCACAAUGGGAAGAGCAUUAUCGUUUGAUUUUAAAUUGAAAUUAAUGUGCUAUUUUGAAAAAAUAAUAGUAUUAUUUGAAUGAAUAAUAAGAUUAAAACGAUAACAAACAUACAUUCCGUGCCAUUUUAUCAAAUGCGCCGUGAUUUUGAAAUUGUGUUGGGACUUGGAACUGUGACACAGACCUCUCAAUUCUGCACCGAGAUAAACAAUUGGCUGGGUGACUAUUAUUUUGAACGUGUGGCUAUUUCGGACAUUGUUGACAGACGAUAAUGGUAUUUCUGUACUUUCGUGUUGUCGUGAAAAGUUCCCAGAGACAGUUCAAAUGAAGUGUUCACGACACCUUUACGCAAUUUCUGUCUCACGCCUUGAAGCUUGCCAAGGGGCGACGUCACACACAUCGCCAUCAUAACUGCCAGGGGAAAGUGUUCCUCCAGACAUAUGUGUUUAGACCUACAUUCACACGCGAGCUUCACACUUACGAUUGGCAAAAAUGAGUCGA